UUGAAGAUUAGAUGUUCUUCCUGUUCCAGAUCUCACUGUUCCCCAAAAAUUCUCUGUAAACAGUCUCUUAAACUGAGUGUGUAAGUAAACGCACUUCAGUCACUGGGCAGUCCUUUCUACCGUCAGGAGAGGGGCUCCAGCUGACCUCGGCUCUCUGCACCUUGACUCUUCUUUACCCUCCACCAUCUGUGUCCGUCCUGGAGUCUCAAGAGGUGCAUGGGCACAGCAGUUUGUUGCCUAAAUGUUCUCAAGAUCCAAGUGUGCUGAUCCAAGGAAGAAGGAAGAAGGACAAAGCCACAGAACGCCCAAGAAGGAAGAGCUAAUGCCUUGUGUAAACAAAACGCGGAAGACUUGCCCUUUGGAUACCUAAUAAAUCCAUUCCCACCAAA